AUUUUAAACCGUAGUAGUCGCUUCCUCAUCUUAGGGUGGGGGAGAGGAAAGUCCGAGCACCAUAGAGCAAGGUGACCGUUAAUGACGUGUCGGGUUCCGAGCAAUCGGGAUCAAGGGAAAGUGCCGCAGAGACGAGCCAGUCUUUCUCACCAUUUAUCGAGAGAGGAUAAGGCUGAAACGUCCGUGUUAAUUUAUACGGUCUCCCCGGUAGUAAUAUCGGGGGGUGGUAAACCCCACUUGGUGCAAGGUUGUAUGGGGGAGUGGAUUCAUCAGCUGCUCGCUGAACCAUUCCUGCAACCGCUAAACGUCCCCGCCAAGGCGGGGAAUAAGAUAGAUGACUACUUCCUGUGUAGCUUUAUGCGAAGCGGGAACAGAACUCGGCUUAUGAGUUUACAAUAAAC
rnacentral:RNase_P_RNA from 1 species